CGCCACUCACGCGGAGCCAAUCGGAACUCGCGGCGGGGCUGCUGGGUCUUCCAGGAGCGCGCAUGAGCGGACGCUGCCUACCGGUGGCCGGGCGGGAUGUAACCGGCUGCUGAGCUGGCAGUUCUGUGUCGCUAGGCUUCGGCCCGGCCGCCGCCGCACAUAAGCUGCGAGGAGGAGCUUUACGACUUCCCGGUCUUCGGGGCCGGGCGCAGCAAGGGCCAGACUCUGCGCUAGCAGGCGCUGCGCGCCAACCGGCCGGCACCUGUCGCAGAAGGUGCAACCGAUCGCACUGUCGUGCAGAAGCUCCUCAAUGGCCAGCGCCAGCUGCAGCCCCGGCUGCCCACUCGCCUCACCUGAGCCUGGGCGAAUCUGGAUUGGGAAAGUUGACAUUAAUCAACUCAUUAUUCCUCCCAGAGUUGUAUUCUCCAGAGUAUCCGGGUCCUUCUCAGAGAAUUAAAAAGCCUGUACAGGUCUAG
rnacentral:lncRNA from 1 species